CUUUGUGUGGUGAAUCCAAUAAAUUAACUCCCAAAGAACUGUAACCACCACCUACAACUCCAAGGACAGCAGAACAAGUAGCCAAUAGGAAAUUCAGACCCCAGAGCCUUUGUCAAAUGGAAAACAUCGGGCAGACACGCAUCCUUGGACAAAGAUAAAACCACCCCAAAAGUCCCUCCAGAUAGCAGAUGAAGGCAGAGUCAUUUCUUCUAAGACUUGGAAAAGGUCGUCGAUUCCGAUCUUUCAUUUUGUCAAGAAUCGCUGCCUUCUCACAGCGAGGAGAGAUCAGGCUUCAUCAUUGGCCGAGAUUCUCCAUUCAAGGCCAACGAGCUAGGGAGGAGCUUUCAUUUAAACUUGGGGUUUGGGCAGGACGCACCUUCAAGACUUGCACCGCUGGAACUCACACCGCAAACAGACGUAUGGAAAAUGAUGCAAAUCUACAAAAUGCAAGAAUCGUAAAGCAUAAUGUCCCUGUCCCCAUCACCCAUCUCACCCCGCCUGGCCUCUAUACCCGCUAAUACCCUGAUGCUAAAGCUUGUGACUAUCAUUCAUUUACUUGUAGUUCUACA